CAUCUAAGUACCCCGAGGAAAAGAAAUCAACCGAGAUUCCCCCAGUAGCGGCGAGCGAACGGGGAGGAGCCCAGAGCCUGAAUCAGCAUGUGUGUUAGUGGAAGCGUCUGGAAAGGCGCGCGAUACAGGGUGACAGCCCCGUACACAAAAGCGCAUGUGCUGUGAGCUCGAUGAGUAGGGCGGGACACGUGGUAUCCUGUCUGAAUAUGGGGGGACCAUCCUCCAAGGCUAAAUACUCCUGACUGACCGAUAGUGAACCAGUACCGUGAGGGAAAGGCGAAAAGAACCCCGGCGAGGGGAGUGAAAAAGAACCUGAAACCGU
rnacentral:rRNA from 3 species